AUAUUUUGAAUUAAGUAUAUUCAUAAUAUUUUUCAGACAAAUUAGUUAAAGAUAGAGUUGAUGUAUAAAAAUCUCGCCAUAAAUGACGAGAUCUAACAUUGCACACAAGGUGGAUAUGGAUUUUUAAAAAGUGCCAUAAAACACUUUAUUAUGAAUGAUCCUUCCGCAGGUUCACCUACGGAAA
rnacentral:misc_RNA from 1 species